rnacentral:lncRNA from 1 species
GAAUAUUAAAGCUAUCAUAUCUGCAGUACAAAUAUAUAAACAUUGUGUGCAUUUUAAAACACUCAUAGCAUUAUUUUACAAAUAUAAACAUUGGGUAAACCUGUGACAUAAUUUAGCCAGAAUUCGUUUCGGGGGACAAGGGACCAUGGUUCUGCGAACUUCACAUGGGAUAAGGACACUCUGUGGCCACAAAAAGAAAAAGGUAGGAGAUUUCCUAAAAUUUGGUUGAGAGUUCUUUUCCCUGUGAGGUGGUGCGGACUACUGCUCUCUGUCCUCUUCGAAUCAGUUGGUUGUGUCAGACCGCCUCACGCUGCUACAUGCGUGAGACUAUGUGAGAAGCUAUAGGCUGGGUGCAGGAAAGCACUGGCCAGUAGCGUGGGGAGACAGCCGGGCCCGGGUUGUGAUGUGUUUUUUAGGCUGAAUGCCUGGUGAUAAAAGAUUCUGGUUAAUUUUUGGGAUAACAAGGGGAGUGGCAGGCACGAGUGUGUCUGUCCAUUGUUGAACUGUGAGUAUGGGCAAUUUUUUGUUUUAUGAGCUCUGACAGAUACAGAUUGGCUUGAUGAGCAGGAGAUAGAAAAAGAGGUCAAUAAGGGUAGGCCGAAAAGCCUAUUCAGGGAUCCCAAUUGAACAAGCACGUCCCAUAUCUCCUGACCGAUUGUAGAAGAAUCACAUAAAUUGGAAAAAUCACACAAAUUGGAAAAAUUGAAGAAAUCAAAACAAGAAUUAAAAUAGAAGACUGCUGACUGACUCCAGUGACUGACUUUGACUUCAAACACGUGUGAAAGGGUAUACCAUUGUGUGAUGAAUAAGUGAAGUGUGUGGGUUGAUUGGAUGGUUGUGUGUGUCUGUUUUGUUCUGUGUCAACUAAGUUCUCUGGCAGAACUGUUCACAGUCAGACUCUGCACCUGUGUGUGUGUUAUGUUAGUCAAAGAUUGCUGUGUUCCACACUUGUGUUUAUUUCAUAGUUGUUUAUGUGAAUACUGUGCUCAUUGCGGUCAUGUUAUCAGUUGAGACAUAGAAGGUUAAAUACUCCUGGGAAAGAGGUUCUGUUCCCAGUACCAUGAUGAACACUCCUGAUAUAAAGGUUUUAGCUUAUGCUUAAAUAUUAUGAUGGUUUUUUGUUGUGAACACGUCUUAUGCUACUUAACAAAUUUUCUGUGUUAAAGCUGCUGAAAUAAUGUUUGUAAAAGCAUAAAAGAUACAAAAAGGGAAAAAGCAAUGAGGUACCACAAGUGCAAAACUUCUAAAAAACUUCAAAUCUAAGAGUUGCUUCUAUACAUCUGCUGUUUUUGCCAGAACACUGUGUUUUUAAAAUAUUAUUGAAGCUGUUAAUAUCAAUACUGACUAUUGCUAUAGAACUGCAGUUGAGGCAAAAGCUUUAUACUGUGUAUUUUUGGGGAAUUUUACAAAACUGCUGAUCAAGUUUUAAUGUGUGUGCUCAGUUGAAUAAUAAAGUUUACAAAAAGCACGACCAGAAAGGGAAGAUUAGAUACACGUUGGUAGGGUGUAAAUAUACUGAACACUUAAAUGAUAUCCAAAAACUUACAAAGAAAUGGGAACAUUGAAUCAAGGGGUUUGAAUCUUUAUGACCUAGGGGAGGCACAUCUAAUGUGGCUGUGUGUGAGGAUUUGGAGCAGCGAAUCUAAGACCAUAAACAUAAAGAAAAGUAAAACACGCAAAAACAAGAAGAUAUGGAACUAAAAGGACCGGACAUGUUUAACUCAGCACUUAGAUUUUGGUCCUUUUUAUACUUUAGAGUCCAAUUUUAGAUUUUAAGUCAUACUGGGACCUUUUUGAACCUGAUUUUAACGUUCUUCUUGUGUAUUUGCUCUUUAAAUGCAUUACUUUUCUCUUUGUAAAUCAUGCUCUGAUCUUCUGAAC